GGUAAGUUUGGUUCGGUUGUCAAAUGGAAUUAGAAGAGCCUGAUAUGGAAGAGGAAGAGCUGGAGAAGUUGUGCUGCAAGUACGCGCCACUCUGUCGCUAGAGCAACCUCCACAAGCGCAGGUCUUACACGGGAUUACUGAGUCAUUGAAAUAAGAAGAGAAUGAGACGCAGCAUUUAGGAGGAGUUGGUUGAGUGAUGUUGCAGACGACUUGCCAGCUAGCAAAUGCACUCUUGUUUGAAGGCAAACCGCUUGUAUCAGGGAACUGGCUUGAGCUGACACGAAGAGGAGGGCCACAUUUGUAAUCCGGGUUAAGGUUACCUUUAAUCUGCCAGCUCUGGGGAGGUGUUAUAGAGGAGAUGUUGAGAUCAGGAGGCAUUUUGUAAACUUCUAU